AUCUAGCUGAUGAGUCCCAAAUAAAACAAAAUGCGCGUCCUGGAU
rnacentral:hammerhead_ribozyme from 1 species